AAGGACUACAGACCGCCUGAAUGAAUGGUCCAUGCUGACUGUCUCAUCAGUGUUGUGUCUCAGUGGUCUGGUUCUGGUUCAGUCCAUGACUCCUGAGUCUACCGGACCUCUGGAAUCUGUCAGUGCCGAUCACAAGGUGAAUUGUCUGGUGUGUUUCUGGGGGACAGGGGGUCUACCUGGG